rnacentral:rRNA from 1 species
AAUUUUUUCGUUCAGGUGCAGCGUGGCCUGCUCCUGGGAGCGUAACGGUAUGUUUGAAGGUUUGAUUCUGGCUCAGAUUGAACGCUGGCGGGAUACUUACACAUGCAAGUCGAACGGCAGCACGGACUUCGAUGCAGUGGCGAGUGGCAGGCGGGUGGGUGAAGUAAUGUAUCCGGAACGUGCCCUAGUAGCAGGGGAUAACUACGCGAAAGCGUAGCUAAUACCACAUACGCCCUUCCAGGAAAGCAGGGGACCUUCGGGCCUCGCACUAUUAGAGCGGCCGAUAUCGGAUUAGCUAGUUGGUGGGGGUAACGGCUCGCAAGGCGACGAUCCGUAGCUGGUUUGAAAGACGACCAGCCACACUGGGACUGAGACACGGCCCGAACUCCUACGAGGCAACGAUGGGGGAAUUUUGGACAAUGGAAGCCCUGAUCAGCCAUCCACGUGUGCGAUGAAGGCCCCUUCGGGUUGUAAAGCACUUUUGGCAGGAAAACGGCACGGGAUAAUACCCCGUGCAACUGACGAACACCUGCAGAAUAAGCACCGGCUAACUACGUGCCAGCAGCCGCGAUGUACGUAAGGUGCAAGCGUCGUCGGAAUUACUGGGCGUAAAGCGUGCGCAGGCGGUUCGGAAGAAGAUGCUGAAAUCCCAGAGCUUAACUUUACGGAACUGCAUUUUUAACUACCGAGCUAGAGUGUGUCAGGAGGUGGAAUUCCGCGUGUAGCAGUGAAAUGCGAAUCAUGCGGAGAACACCGAUAGCGAAAGGCAACCUCCUGGGAUAACACUGACGCUCAUGCGCGACAAUAGGAGCAGCAGGAUUAGAUACCCUGGUAGUCCACGCCUAAACGAUGUCAACUGCUGUUGAACCUUCGGACGCUUGGUAGCGCAGCUAACGCGUGAAGUUGACCGCCUGGGAAAUACAGUCGCAAGAUUAAACUCAAAAUUGGCGGACCCGCACAAGCGGUGGAUGAUGUGGAUUAAUUCGAUGCAACAUGAAAACCUUCCACUACCCUUGACAAUAUCUGGAAUCCCGAAGAGAUUUGGGAGUGCUCGCAAAGAGAACCGGAACACAGGUGCUGCAUGGCUGUCGUCAGCUCGUGUCGUGAGAUGUUGGGUUAAGUCCCACUAACCGACGCAUGCUGUCAUUAGUUGCUACGAGGCACUCUAAUGAGACUGCCGGUGACAAACCGGCGGAGAGAGUGUGGGGAUGACGUCAAGUCCUCAUGGCCCUUAUGGGUAGGGCUUCACACACGUCAUACAAUGGUCGGGACGGGGUGUGGCUUACGAGGGCUAUUGACGAAACCGAUCGUGGUCCGGAUCGCAGUCUGCAACUCGACUGCGUGAAGUCGGAAUCGCUGGUAAUCGCGGAUCGGCUUAUCUCGCGGUGAAUACGUUCCCGGGUCUUGUACACACCGCCCGCCACACCAUGGGAAUUGGGUUUACCAGAAGUAGUUAGCCUAACCGUAAGGAGGGCGAUUACCACGGUAGGAUUCAUGACUGGGGUGAAGUCGUAACAAGGUAG